rnacentral:miRNA from 1 species
UAGUGCUGCAAUGUAAACAUUGUAGUUUCUCUAAAACUGCAAUGUUUUGCAUUGCAGCACUA